GUCUAUGGCCAUACCACACUGAAUGCGCCUGAUCUCCUAUGAUCUUGGAAGCUAAAAAGAGUCAGCCCUGGUUAGUACUUAGAUGGGAGAAAUGUAUC
rnacentral:rRNA from 1 species